CCUCUUAUCUCUAAAUAAGCAGCUCCUAUUGCAGAGCAUCAAGGUCAGCUUCGACGAUUUGCCAUGGACGUGCUUCGCCGCGGGGCUGCCGCCAUCGUCGAGGCUGCACUACAUCAUGCUGGUGGACUUGGUGGUGGUGCUUGACCUGGUGGUGACCAGAAGAGAGCAAGAGAGAUUCUUUUCAGGUUUCAUCUUGAUGCAGAGAGUGAUUCCAGCUCCACUUUGUUUAAUUGCAUAGGUCGGCCCUUUCAUAAACAAGGAUCAUCAACCAAUAUAGUGAAAAUUUUGGUGUGAGAACAAUGUGUAGAGGCCGCCCAGAGCGCUACCAAAGCCGCUAUCUUUUUUCCUGGAGAAUGAGAUGUCCAUCAGUUUUAUAGAUUUAAAUCACAAAACAUGGCAUGCUCAACUACACUUAUCUCAGGGGCAGCACAAGGAGAGCAGGUAACACCCAAAGAUACAGAAGCAUUAUUGAUUUCCAUGUUAUUGUGUCCUGACUAAAACCUUGACAAUGAAUGAAAGUCCUCUCGUGGAAUAGAUUGGCACGGAAUAGGUCUUCUCAUGUAAGAAUUCUUAUCAUUUGUGGCGAGGUAACAGUUUUUUCUCAUGUAAGAACUCUUAUCAUCUGUUCGGACAUCAGGAUGAGGCUCCGGAAACAAGUGAUGUGCAUCCUUUCUAAUGGCCAGCCAAGAUACAUGUAAGCUAACAGUUAGUAUCUCUCAAUCCCCUAGGUAAUACCUUUGUUUUGCCCUUUUGAGUCAACUGUUGUAAAUUUCAUUCUUUGUUGUUGUCUAUAUUAUUAUUCCUUACCACUUAUUAGAAGUCCAAAAGUACGAUCUGGAAUAAGUUGUGCAAACUGCGAAGAAUAAAAUAUAGAUGCAAACUCGAGAACAAUUUCUUAGUUGUGUAUAUUGUUUGUCUAUGGGUUUGUUGUGUUCCCAAGGCAACUGAGCUUUCAGUGGUAGAUAAUCGAUGUUUUAGUUAUAAGAACAUGUUGCUGCUUUGAGCAAUGACAAUUGGUUUUAUGUUGCACUAGAUUUCAGUGUAUUUGGUAUUUAAUCUUUCAAGAUCAAGAAAUCCGCCUCCAGCUUCUAUCCUCUUCUCAGUUAGAGGCAUUACUUAUAGAUUGCCCUUUCCUACGCAUGGCUGAAUUUACUUUAGUUGGUGUUUGUGAGUUGCUUGUACGUAGUACUAUUGCCUUCCAGAUUUUGUCAACCAAUCCUAUCUAUCAAAACUUACAGACUAAUCUUGAGUUAUUUGAUCAUUUUUAUUUCUAGCAGAAAAUCAUAGCUGAUACAUUAUGGGCUACAUUAUGGGCAGUCACGAACUGUUGAUACAUGGGUUACACCACAAUGGUAUGUCAACCAUUUUAGCAUACUUUACAUGCUCAUCUUGUUCCGUGAGUUUUGAGCUGGUAGAUGAAACAUAUCAUCAUCUCCUGGUCAUGCUUGCGGAUGCUCCAUUAUUCAUAGUGGUUUUUAGAUUGCAGUACAAUGGAUAGUUCAGAAGCUCCCCACAUGUCUGUAUUGUAUUCAAACAAAGUUGUGAUGUGCAACAUGUAUGUUCGUGCUAUUAAAAUAUCAGAUCAUGCAUGUUGUUGCCAUAAUUGUAGUCUUUGGUUUCCACUUACUAAACUUUGACCUUUUGUGAAGUCCUACUAUAAGAUGCUAUAGAAUUUAGUGGAAGUGAUCAUGGCCUUGCUGAAGACAAUGAUAGAUGUUGUGAGUAAUCAGAAUGACAGGAUGUUCGAUAAUUUUGUUGCAAAGCUGA